rnacentral:misc_RNA from 1 species
GAUGAAGAACGUAGUGAAAUGCGAUAAGUAAUGUGAAUUGCAGAAUUCAGUGAAUCAUCGAGUCUUUGAACGCACAUUGCGCCCCCUGGUAUUCCGGGGGGCAUGCCUGUCCGAGCGUCAUUGCUGCCCUCAAGCACGGCUUGUGUGUUGGGCCCCCGUCCCCGGUUUCCCCCGGGGACGGGCCCGAAAGGCAGCGGCGGCACCGCGUCCGGUCCUCGAGCGUAUGGGGCUUUGUCACCCGCUCUGUAGGCCCGGCCGGCGCCAGCCGACACCCAACUUUAUUUCUAAGGUUGACCUCGGAUCAGGUAGGGAUACCCGCUGAACAUAAGCAUAUCAAUAAGCGGAGGA